rnacentral:rRNA from 1 species
AGUGGGGAAUCUUAGACAAUGGGCGCAAGCCUGAUCUAGCGAUGCCGCGUGAGUGAUGAAGGCCUUAGGGUCGUAAAGCCCUUUCGCCUGUGAAGAUAAUGACGGUAGCAGGUAAAGAAACCCCGGCUAACUCCGUGCCAGCAGCCGCGGUAAUACGGAGGGGGUUAGCGUUGUUCGGAAUUACUGGGCGUAAAGCGCACGUAGGCGGACUAGUCAGUCAGAGGUGAAAUCCCAGGGCUCAACCCUGGAACUGCCUUUGAUACUGCUAGUCUUGAGUUCGAGAGAGGUAAGUGGAAUUCCGAGUGUAGAGGUGAAAUUCGUAGAUAUUCGGAGGAACACCAGUGGCGAAGGCGGCUUACUGGCUCGAUACUGACGCUGAGGUGCGAAAGUGUGGGGAGCAAACAGGAUUAGAUACCCUGGUAGUCCACACCGUAAACGAUGAAUGCCAGACGUCGGGUAGCAUGCUAUUCGGUGUCACACCUAACGGAUUAAGCAUUCCGCCUGGGGAGUACGGUCGCAAGAUUA